rnacentral:rRNA from 1 species
UACGUAGGGGGCGAGCGUUGUCCGGAUUUAUUGGGCGUAAAGAGCGUGUAGGCGGCUAGGCAGGUCUGCUGUGAAAACUCGAGGCUCAACCUCGAGACGUCGGCGGAAACCAUCUGGCUAGAGUCCGGAAGAGGAGAGUGGAAUUCCUGGUGUAGCGGUGAAAUGCGCAGAUAUCAGGAAGAACACCCGUGGCGAAGGCGGCUCUCUGGGACGGUACUGACGCUGAGACGCGAAAGCGUGGGGAGCGAGCAGG